UGGGGAAUAUUGCACAAUGGGGGAAACCCUGAUGCAGCGACGCCGCGUGAACGAAGAAGGUAUUCGUAUCGUAAAGUUCUGUCCUAUGGGAAGAUAAUGACAGUACCAUAGAAGAAAGCUCCGGCUAAAUACGUGCCAGCAGCCGCGGUAAUACGUAUGGAGCGAGCGUUGUCCGGAAUUAUUGGGCGUAAAGGGUACGCAGGCGGUUUAAUAAGUCGAAUGUUAAAGAUCGGGGCUCAACCCCGUAAAGCAUUGGAAACUGAUAAACUUGAGUAGUGGAGAGGAAAGUGGAAUUCCUAGUGUAGUGGCGAAAUACGUAGAUAUUAGGAGGAAUACCAGUAGCGAAGGCGACUUUCUGGACACAAACUGACGCUGAGGUACGAAAGCGUGGGGAGCAAACAGG
rnacentral:rRNA from 1 species